GGAGUUCACUCCUGACACUCUCUCUAUUUAGGAGUAGGGUUAGAUUCCAACAUGCUGGACAGCUCAUGAGAAAUACUUUUCUGAAGAGGUUUUCAACCUGAUCACAUAGAUUCAAGAGAUUUGGAAGGCUCAGUUAGGUUCUGUACCCUGAGCUUCAGCUUCUUCAUUAUCUCAUCUCCUGUCAUCGGGGUGGAUGCUCAGAAUGAAGCUGAUCACAAGUUUCAACAACAACAGUCCAUUGAAACAUGUCUCAAAGCAGCUCUUUUUAAAAACAAAACAAAAACAAAACAAAAAACUUCUUAUAGCUUCGAAAGCAGUUGCGAGGACUCAUCCUUUGCCACAACCAAUUUAUAUUUGAAUAUUUUAAAUAUUUAACCUUUUAAGGCUUCUAAAGCAGCUGUGAGGAAACAAGGGAAAUCAAUAUGGUUUGCUACCAAAAUGCAAUGCUACAGAUUCUAUGAGUCUUCAGAAUACAGAAAUAUGUGUCACGUCAUAGUAUUAAAAAGGUGUCUCUUUC